rnacentral:rRNA from 1 species
AUACAACUUUUAACAAUGGAUCUCUUGGUUCUGGCAUCGAUGAAGAACGCAGCGAAAUGCGAUAAGUAGUGUGAAUUGCAGAAUUCAGUGAAUCAUCGAAUCUUUGAACGCACAUUGCGCCCCUCGGUAUUCCGUGGGGCAUGCCUGUUCGAGCGUCAUUU